AGCAAAGUCGCCCAGAGGAAGAGCGCUGGGCUCAUAACCCAGAGGUCGGUGGAUCGAAACCACCCUUUGCUA
rfam:Lobosporangium transversale strain NRRL 3116 BCR41scaffold_3, whole genome shotgun sequence.